AUUGCUUCUUGGCCUUUUGGCUAAGAUCAAGUGUAGUAUCUGUUCUUAUCAGUUUAAUAUCUGAUACAUUCUCUAUCCCGGACAAUACAUCAAAUGGAUUUUGAAGCAGGGACAUGGAACAGAGGCUUGCUUUGUCCCCUCCACACAUCAGCCUGGUGUUGCAGUAUCUCUGGGAACAGUCUACCCCCU